rnacentral:lncRNA from 1 species
AUGGCUCGUUCAUUCAGGCUCUCCUGGCUUUGCACUCUGUUGUGGAGCUGCUUGUGCUUUCCUCCUGAAGAAGGUUACAGUAGUGCACAUGGCUACUAUCUCUAUGAGAGCCCGCAAACCUCUAGCAGAUUUCAUUCUGGACAGUCUUUGAAUACAAACAAUGAGAAUGUUGGACGGCAAAGCUUUGUUUCCCGUCAGCCAGAAGCAUUUACUUAUGAUAAAGGACAGGAUGCUACCGCUGAGAUGAAGCAAAGCCAGCCUGAUAAGUUUCACGGGGCCUCUUCUGCUCCUCUUAUAGAGCAAAAUGAGCAGUCUGGUUAUCACCAUCCCUUUGACCUUUUAGUGAGGGGAAACAUGCAGGAGCCUGUGAAGGGUGUCGCUUUCCCCACAAUGAGUCAUUUAAAGGAGUUUAUAGAAAACAUGAAGCAUUCCUUCUUAGUACCAGGAAGUGACUUGAGUAGACAUUUUGAAACUGCACGGGAAAAAAUGAAAACUCUCGGAACAUCCAUGGACUAUAGACCAACUCCUGAAAAAGGAGGCACUGCCUCUGGUGACAGCAAGAAAAAUAAUGAUCGGAUUGAAGAAGAUGCCAACUACCAAACGCCAAAUAAACUCCUCUCUUUCCCUGAUCCUGUCGACUCCUCUGCAAGUCUCAUUUCUUCCAGUGUUUAUGACAACCAAAAAUUUAGGCCGGGCACCACUUUCUACCCACACGAUCAUUUAGCAGCCACAGGUCUUGCUUCAAGAAAUUUGGCACACGGUUUUCCCUGGGGAAACAAUGACUUAUCUGUGAGUGUGGAUUCAGAACAAUACAAACCACCAAAAAAAACACAAUUUCCCUCCAGCUCCUUUCACAGGCAGGGUUCUUCCUAUAGUAAACAUGUGACUGCACCCCCUGUGAACCCUGCAAACAGCCCAUCUCAAGAUUUCAGCCAGUAUUCAAGUGAGACCUCAAAUUUAACACCUUAUUGGAAGGAUAUGCUAAAUCCAGUACAUGUCUCUCAAAGUAGAGAUCCUUUAAUGAGGUACUGGAGACCACCCAGUGGCUUUGAACUCACUAAAGACUUCCACAGAGCAAGUCAAACUAAUGUCCCAUCUGCAAAAAUCCUACCAUCUGUAUAUUCCUAUGGUAAAAAGCAUCACCCCUCCAUGCAGCAUUAUUGGCCCAAAUACAAGACAAGAAUAGGUGCUUCAGUCCAGGCACGUCAACCUACUGAGAGCAAAGAGUUGAGGACUGUAAAAUAUGCUCCCAACGUCCACUGGCCUCCAUCAAGUGGUUCUGUCUCUUUAAGCUUUAAUGACCCCUUACCCCAGUGGAGAAGAGGUCACAUGGGUUAUCAAAGCAGCCCACAAUACCCGCAAAUUCCUCAUUAUAAGCAAAAACAGAUGGACAGAGCUCACUGGAUGUUUACCGCCAAACCCUUGAGUUUUGUUCCCGGAUACCACAAAGUCAGUGCUGUUCCCUUCGUCCUAAAUGCCCAUGCAAAACAUGAGAAUUCAAACCUCUACAAUCAAAAACUCCUAUCUACCUUUCAGAAACCGCAUUACAAUAGAUUGAGAAAUCCACCCCAGAGUGGGCUCGCAUCUUAUGGAGUAAGAAACCCACUGGGCUCAUUUUCUAAACCACAGAGGCAAACUGUGAGGUCUGAACGUUUACAGCCUUUCAUGCAACCAAACAGGCACAUGCCUCGAGCCAGUGUGAGUAGACGGCCCAGACACUUGGCCAACUGGCGUUCUGAACAGCAGCCUAAACCUACAGGUUUGAUGCCUAAGUGUGUUAUUAAGAGGAACACAAAAAGCCUUCCUCCUCAAGAGUCCCGUAAUACAUCUCCAUCAUCUCUAAAUCCAUACGUUAAAUCUAAAAACCGCUUCACACGGGCCGUAGCAUAUCUGUCAAAGGUCUGUUUCACACCCCGUAUGGUGCAAGGGAAGAAUAAUAACAAUCAGUGGAGACUGGUAAGAAGAUGGCGUGAAUGA